rnacentral:SRP_RNA from 1 species
GAGAGGUUGGCGCGGGCAGGUGUCUUGCCAACUCGGUCAGGUCCGGAAGGAAGCAGCCGUAACAGGAUCCACUUGGGUCGCUGUCCAGCCUCUCACC